rnacentral:rRNA from 1 species
CGGGGUGCACCAGGCGCGAAAACUUUACAAUGCCGGCAACGGCGAUAAAGGAACCUCGAGUGCCAGGUUACAAAUCUGGCUGUCGCGAUGCCUAAAAAGCAUUGCAUAGCAAGGGCCGGGCAAGACCGGUGCCAGCCGCCGCGGUAACACCGGCGGCUCGAGUGGUAACCGUUAUUAUUGGGUCUAAAGGGUCUGUAGCCGGCCGGAUAAGUCUCUUGGGAAAUCCGGCAGCUCAACUGUCGGGCUUUCAGGAGAUACUGUCUGGCUCGAGGCCGGGAGAGGUGAGAGGUACUUCAGGGGUAGGGGUGAAAUCUUGUAAUCCUUGAAGGACCACCAGUGGCGAAGGCGUCUCACCAGAACGGACCUGACGGCAAGGGACGAAAGCUUGGGGCACGAACCGGAUUAGAUACCCGGGUAGUCCUAGCCGUAAACGAUACUCGCUAGGUGUCGGCCACGGUGCGACCGUGGUCGGUGCCGUAGGGAAGCCGUGAAGCGAGCCACCUGGGAAGUACGGCCGCAAGGCUGAAACUUAAAGGAAUUGGCGGGGGA